rnacentral:rRNA from 1 species
AGGGUGUAAACGCUGCAGACUUGGUGUUGGAAGCCCUUUGGGGGCAUUCAGUGCCGGAGAGAAGUUGUUAAGUCUGCUACUUGGGGAGUACGUCCGCAAGGAUGAAACUUAAAGAAAUUGGCGGGGGAGCACCGCAACGGGAGGAGCGUGCGGUUUAAUUGGAUUCAACACCGUAAAACUCACCAGGGAAGACUGUUACAUGAAGGCCGAGAUGAAGGCUCUGCUAGAUUUUCAGAGAGGUGGUGCAUGGCGUCAGUGACU